rnacentral:tRNA from 1 species
GGGGCUGGGGCUCAGUGGUAGAGCACUUGCCUUAUGCACGUGCAAGGCCUUGGGUUCGAUCCUCAGCACCA